rnacentral:rRNA from 1 species
AGUAACGGCGAGUGAAGCGGCAACAGCUCAAAUUUGAAAUCUGGCGCAAGCCCGAGUUGUAAUUUGUAGAGGAUGUUUCGGGUACCGCCUCGGUUUAAAUUUCUUGGAACAGAAUGUCAAAGAGGGUGAGAAUCCCGUCUUGGACCGGCGGUAGGGCCCAUGUGAAACUCCUUCGACGAGUCGAGUUGUUUGGG